rnacentral:pre_miRNA from 1 species
AGGAGGAACAGCCCCAGUGGCGGGGCCAGGUCUGGAGCCCUGGAUUCAGCCCCCGCAGGAACUCCGGGGCUCUCCGUCUGCAGGGCUGGAGGCUCCGGGCGGGG